rnacentral:rRNA from 1 species
GGUUAAGCGACUAAGCGUACACGGUGGAUGCCCUGGCAGUCAGAGGCGAUGAAGGGCGUGCUAAUCUGCGAUAAGCGCCGGUAAGGUGAUAUGAACCGUUAUAACCGGCGAUACCCGAAUGGGGAAACCCAGUGUGACUCGUCACACUAUCAUUAACUGAAUCCAUAGGUUAAUGAGGCGAACCGGGGGAACUGAAACAUCUAAGUACCCCGAGGAAAAGAAAUCAACCGAGAUUCCCCCAGUAGCGGCGAGCGAACGGGGAGGAGCCCAGAGCCUGAAUCAGCAUGUGUGUUAGUGGAAGCGUCUGGAAAGGCGCGCGAUACAGGGUGACAGCCCCGUACACAAAAGCGCAUGUGCUGUGAGCUCGAUGAGUAGGGCGGGACACGUGGUAUCCUGUCUGAAUAUGGGGGGACCAUCCUCCAAGGCUAAAUACUCCUGACUGACCGAUAGUGAACCAGUACCGUGAGGGAAAGGCGAAAAGAACCCCGGCGAGGGGAGUGAAAAAGAACCUGAAACCGUGUACGUACAAGCAGUGGGAGCACAGGUUUACCUGUGUGACUGCGUACCUUUUGUAUAAUGGGUCAGCGACUUAUAUUCUGUAGCAAGGUUAACCGAAUAGGGGAGCCGGAGGGAAACCGAGUCUUAAUUGGGCGUUAAGUUGCAGGGUAUAGACCCGAAACCCGGUGAUCUAGCCAUGGGCAGGUUGAAGGUUGGGUAACACUAACUGGAGGACCGAACCGACUAAUGUUGAAAAAUUAGCGGAUGACCUGUGGCUGGGGGUGAAAGGCCAAUCAAACCGGGAGAUAGCUGGUUCUCCCCGAAAGCUAUUUAGGUAGCGCCUCGUGAAUUCAUCUCCGGGGGUAGAGCACUGUUUCGGCUAGGGGGCCAUCCCGGCUUACCAACCCGAUGCAAACUGCGAAUACCGGAGAAUGUUAUCACGGGAGACACACGGCGGGUGCUAACGUCCGUCGUGAAGAGGGAAACAACCCAGACCGCCAGCUAAGGUCCCAAAGUCAUGGUUAAGUGGGAAACGAUGUGGGAAGGCCCAGACAGCCAGGAUGUUGGCUUAGAAGCAGCCAUCAUUUAAAGAAAGCGUAAUAGCUCACUGGUCGAGUCGGCCUGCGCGGAAGAUGUAACGGGGCUAAACCAUGCACCGAAGCUGCGGCAGCGACGCUUAUGCGUUGUUGGGUAGGGGAGCGUUCUGUAAGCCUGUGAAGGUGUGUCGUGAGGCAUGCUGGAGGUAUCAGAAGUGCGAAUGCUGACAUAAGUAACGAUAAAGCGGGUGAAAAGCCCGCUCGCCGGAAGACCAAGGGUUCCUGUCCAACGUUAAUCGGGGCAGGGUGAGUCGACCCCUAAGGCGAGGCCGAAAGGCGUAGUCGAUGGGAAACGGGUUAAUAUUCCCGUACUUGGUGUUACUGCGAAGGGGGGACGGAGAAGGCUAUGUUGGCCGGGCGACGGUUGUCCCGGUUUAAGCGUGUAGGUGUGUGUUCCAGGUAAAUCCGGUUCACUUUAACACUGAGGCGUGAUGACGAGGCACUACGGUGCUGAAGCAACAAAUGCCCUGCUUCCAGGAAAAGCCUCUAAGCAUCAGGUAACAUCAAAUCGUACCCCAAACCGACACAGGUGGUCAGGUAGAGAAUACCAAGGCGCUUGAGAGAACUCGGGUGAAGGAACUAGGCAAAAUGGUGCCGUAACUUCGGGAGAAGGCACGCUGACAUGUAGGUGAAGUGAUUUACUCAUGGAGCUGAAGUCAGUCGAAGAUACCAGCUGGCUGCAACUGUUUAUUAAAAACACAGCACUGUGCAAACACGAAAGUGGACGUAUACGGUGUGACGCCUGCCCGGUGCCGGAAGGUUAAUUGAUGGGGUCAGCGCAAGCGAAGCUCCUGAUCGAAGCCCCGGUAAACGGCGGCCGUAACUAUAACGGUCCUAAGGUAGCGAAAUUCCUUGUCGGGUAAGUUCCGACCUGCACGAAUGGCGUAAUGAUGGCCAGGCUGUCUCCACCCGAGACUCAGUGAAAUUGAACUCGCUGUGAAGAUGCAGUGUACCCGCGGCAAGACGGAAAGACCCCGUGAACCUUUACUAUAGCUUGACACUGAACAUUGAGCCUUGAUGUGUAGGAUAGGUGGGAGGCUUUGAAGUGUGGACGCCAGUCUGCAUGGAGCCGACCUUGAAAUACCACCCUUUAAUGUUUGAUGUUCUAACGUGGACCCGUUAUCCGGGUUGCGGACAGUGUCUGGUGGGUAGUUUGACUGGGGCGGUCUCCUCCUAAAGAGUAACGGAGGAGCACGAAGGUUGGCUAAUCCUGGUCGGACAUCAGGAGGUUAGUGCAAUGGCAUAAGCCAGCUUGACUGCGAGCGUGACGGCGCGAGCAGGUGCGAAAGCAGGUCAUAGUGAUCCGGUGGUUCUGAAUGGAAGGGCCAUCGCUCAACGGAUAAAAGGUACUCCGGGGAUAACAGGCUGAUACCGCCCAAGAGUUCAUAUCGACGGCGGUGUUUGGCACCUCGAUGUCGGCUCAUCACAUCCUGGGGCUGAAGUAGGUCCCAAGGGUAUGGCUGUUCGCCAUUUAAAGUGGUACGCGAGCUGGGUUUAGAACGUCGUGAGACAGUUCGGUCCCUAUCUGCCGUGGGCGCUGGAGAACUGAGGGGGGCUGCUCCUAGUACGAGAGGACCGGAGUGGACGCAUCACUGGUGUUCGGGUUGUCAUGCCAAUGGCACUGCCCGGUAGCUAAAUGCGGAAGAGAUAAGUGCUGAAAGCAUCUAAGCACGAAACUUGCCCCGAGAUGAGUUCUCCCUGAGACUUAGAGUCUCCUGAAGGAACGUUGAAGACGACGACGUUGAUAGGCCGGGUGUGUAAGCGCAGCGAUGCGUUGAGCUAACCGGUACUAAUGAACCGUGAGGCUUAACCUU